CAAUAGCGUAUAUUAAAGUUGUUGCAGUUAAAAAGCUCGUAGUCGGAUUUCUGGAUUGGGAGGGCGGUCCGUUUGGCCUAGCCGGAUGUGAACCAUGUCUUUUCAUCCAUCUUCGUGAAGAGCUGUUCUGACCGUUAUUGGUUUGGAGCAUGCAAUUCGCGUCUUUUACUGUGAACAAAUUAGAGUGUUCAAAGCAGGCUUACGCCACUGAAUACAUUAGCAUGGAAUAACAACAUAGGACUUUGGUGAUUCUAUUGUUGGUUCAGCGCCAGGGUAAUGAUUAAUAGGGAUAGUUGGGGGUAUUCGUAUUCAAUUGUCAGAGGUGAAAUUCUUGGAUUUAUGGAAGACGAACAACUGCGAAAGCAUUUACCAAGGAUGUUUUCUUUG
rnacentral:rRNA from 1 species